AAAAAGACAAACCCUGGGUUUCCGUGUCCAAUGUUUGAAUGUCCGUCUUCUAUGAAAUUUCUUUAUAAUUAGUAUUUUCAUUGUUGUUAGAUGAUAAAACAUUAUUAAUACUUUAUGCGUGACUUUUUUUUAUUUUUUUAUAUUAUUUUCAAAUAAGACGGACGGUCAAACAUUGGACACGGAAACCCAGGUUUGUCUUUUUU
rfam:Oryza barthii chromosome 10, whole genome shotgun sequence.